UGGGGUUGCACGUGCUUACAUUCUGCUGCCGCGGUAGAUACCUCCUUGCUGCCGGCUUCCUGGGGGACAGGUGAGUACGGGUGUGAAUCUGCCGAUUAGGGGGGGACGACAUUUCAAAAGGAAUGCCCAUAAAGCAUACGUCCUGUGGAUCCGCACCGUAUCUCAUAACCUUCCGCUUCCGAGGAGCCUUUCAGGAUUCCUUCCUGGUGGGGUAAAGGCCUCACCAAGGCGACCAUUUGUACCGAGCGUUCGGAGAGGAUGAUCCGCCACACUGUGACUGACACACGGCACCCACUCCUACGAGAACUAGCAAUGGGGAAUAUUGGAAAAUGGGCACCAGAUCUGAUCCAGCCAUGCCGCGUGUGUGAAGAAGGGCUUAAGGUUGUAAAGCACUUUAAAUCGAGGAGAAGGCUACCUUAGAUAAUACCUACAGAUACGUGACGUUACUCGCACAGAUAAACACCGCCUAACUCUGUGUCUAAUCAGCGCGUAAAACACAGGGUGCAAGCGUGAUUCUGAUUAUCUGGGCGUAAAGCGCGCGCUAAGCGGCUAAUUAAAUAAAAUGUGAAAUCCCCGAGCUUAACUUCGGACCACCAUUCGAAACUGGUUAGUCUAGAGUGCUGGAGAGCAUACACUCGCAGAAUUCCAGUGUAGCGUGAAAUGCGUAGAGAUCUGGAGGAAUACCGAUGGCGAAGGCGGCUCAUCUGGUCUGAACACUGACGCUGAGGAUGCGAAAGCAUGGGGAGCGAAACAGGAUUAGAUACCUGGUAGUCCACUGCCGUAAACGAUGUCUACUAGCCGUUGGGGGCCUUUGCGCCCUCUUAGUGGCGCAAGCUAACGCGAUAAGUAGACCGCCUGGGGAGUACGGUCGCAAGAAUAAAACUCAAAUGAAUUGACGGGGGCCCGCACCAGCGGUGGAGCAUGUGGUUUAAUUUGAUGCAACGCGAAGAACCUUACCUGGCCUUGACAUUGUUAGAACUUUCCAGAGAUGGAUUGGUGCCUUUGGGAACUUACAUACAGGUGGUGCAUGGCUGUUGUCAGCUUGUGUUGUGAGAUGUUGGGUUAAGUUCCGCAACGAGGGCAACCCUUUUCUUUAUUUGCCAGCGAGUAAUGUCGGGAACUUUAAGGAUACUGCCAGUGACAAACUGGAGGAAGGCGGGGACGACGUCAAGUCAUCAUGGCCCUUACGGCCAGGGCUACACACUUGUUACAAUGGUCGGUACAAAGGGUUGGUACCCAGCGAUAGGAUGCUAAUCUCAAAAAGCCGAUUGUAGUCCGGAUUGGAGUUUGCAAUUGGACUCCAUGAAGUGGGAAUCGUUGGUAAUCGCGGAUCAGAAUGCCGCGGUGAAUACGUUCCCGGCCCUUGUACACACCGCCCGUCACACCAUGGGAGUUUGUUGCACCAGAAGUAGCUAGCCUACCUGCAAAGAGGCCGGUUACCACGGUGUGGCCGAUGACUGGGGUGAAGUCGAACAAGAGCAUGCU
rnacentral:rRNA from 2 species